UCCGCUCCCGCUGCCGAACCGCAGCACCCGCUCACCCCUGCUGCUCCUGCUCUCCCACCGCUCAGCCCUGCGGAAGAGCACUCGGUAUUGCUUCCUCACCGCACUUCUGUUUUGCUGAGAAAAAACUGCAGCAUUGGGUUUGCACUUGUCAUCUCAGCGUCCCGUCAGUCCUUCAGUAUUCCUCGGGGGUCAGUCGACUUAAGCCAGGAAUUGCUGUCCUGACGUUUCUGGUGGAUCCAUACACACAAAAUCUGCUGUCAGUGACUGCAGGCUGGGAACCAGCAAUACAGAGGCCAAGAAAAAUUGCUACUACUACAUUUAAGGUCCCCUAUAAUUGUUUGUCCAACAUUUUAUCCCCAGGAAAAGCAUAACGAUGCAUGAAAGCAUCAGUGGUGAAGUGGACAUUCGCUACAUUCGGUGAUCAAGAGGUACUGCCCCUUCCUGACACUGGAAAUACCAUUCUCUGCACCUUUAUCUGUCCCGUCCCCUCUUGGUUUUGCAUGUAGAUAGUUGUCAGUUCUUUGGGUAAAUGGAACGGCUCUCACAUGAUGACAAGUGUGAUACAGGCAAUGUCGUUGCACCAACCAGGUAUUAAUUAAUGCAGUACACACAUAAACCUGAAACAGGGAAUUGCCUUUUCUAAAACUGAUAUUUUUUUAUAAAUCUUUAAUUCCAGACAAACUGGAAGCACUUCACUAACCACAAGGUGAAUCUUGUCAAGUGGUGAGAACUCUAAUCUUGAUCCAGAAAAACAGUUACGCACAUGCCCAGCUCCAAGCAUAUGGAAGUCUUACUGAUUUGUGGGCUUGAGAUUCCUCUCCUUCCACCAAAGAGAGCUGCAAAGAACACACUUUGCUAAAAAAGGACUCAGGAAGGAUUGACACUAGUUAAAUACUCUCAUUGAAAGAUACCAGAAAGCCCACAGGAUUUUUUAGCUGUCAUUUGAAAGACUGGUUAUAUAGUGUGUGCAACUCAGCUCUUCUAGACAGGCUGAACUAUUGCUUAGACCGUACAGCUGGUGAAGUGAAGCCAGAGUGGAUAUAACUGUUGUGUGUCAAUACAUCAACAGGCAGGGCAAAGAACUUUGAGAGAUAAGGGAUGGUUUAAGUAUAGGGGCAAACUAGAUAUAAAUAAGCAGCAGAAAAUUACUAUACCUAUUAGAAAGGGACGACCUGGAAGAGCCUCCCUAUGGGAACCCCAGAGACAAAACCAAACAAAGCAGACUUUGUCAGGCAUUGCAUGGUGUGAUGCAUGAAACAGCAGAGAAAUGAAAUGGUGACUCAGCCCAAUUUCCCUCGUAGGAUAGGAUUUUGGCUUGGAAUGCCUCACUGCAGCAGUUAGGCUUCAAGAAGCAACAUGCAGCUGCACAGCCACCACUCUGAAUCCUCCUGCCUUUCUCAGUAUUUAGUAGGCAUUGUGCAAGCUGUGAAUGAGUUUCUAUGAUGAGACCUUGAGAACACAUUGGGGCUGUCUCCUGUUCUGGAAUGCAGAGGCUGCUUCAGAGGUGUGAAGAGCUGUUAGACCUGUGUGACUCAUUCCUGUUUCUUUCUUCAGGACUUGCCAUGGGACAUUGACAUGAAUCUCAUGUUGGUCAUAAGAUGAUUCAGGAAAGCCCAGAGUUUCCCAAAGGCCAAAAUGAUUGUGCACAGGGCGGGACCUGACAUCCCAGGUUAAUAAAUGUCAUGAAUGUUGGUACAGCCCCCAGGAGCAUUUGAUCAGAUUCCAGUAGUUACAGUUGCUCUUAAGUUCCUUGAUCUAUUAUAUAGCCUGUAAGCACCAUUGUUUUCUAACUUGCAUGCACAUCUUCAACAUCACAAUUACCUCUCUCUAUCAUACAGCCAAAGUUCAGCCAGGGGCUGAACUUUGGCCAAAACCCUCUUUUGAAGAUAAUAUACCUUCAUAAUCUUAGUUUUUUUUCUUUUUCCUCCUUUUUAUUUAAAUAUAGGAAAUGUUGUAAGAAUCUUCAAUUGAAACUCUCAAUUUUUUUUUUGAAAAAAAAAUUAUUUUUUUUU